rnacentral:misc_RNA from 1 species
UUUCCGUAGGUGAACCUGCGGAGGGAUCAUUAAAGUUAUAGUCCCCCGGCCCUCUUGGCUGAGCUCUUCUAUACCGCCCUUUCUGUAUUACACCUUUCUUGCUUUGUCAGACCUGCCCACCUACGUCUGGCCCCGGCCGGCUAGCCUCUGCCAGAGGACCUACACUCUGUUUGUAUAUUAUGUCUGAGUACUAUACAAUAAUUAAAACUUUCAAAAACGUAUCUCUAAGUUCUGUCUUCGAUGAAGAACGCAUCAAAUCUGAAGAACACACGUCGGAAC